UUUGACCUCGGAUCAGGUAGGAGUACCCGCUGAACUUAAGCAUAUCAAUAAGCGGAGGA
rnacentral:rRNA from 4 species